rnacentral:misc_RNA from 1 species
UCAUAUUAAUAAUAAGCAACCUACUCUGAUGUCAAUAAUUUAUAGCAUUAACAUGUAGUCAAAAGGAACCUGGAACGAACCCUAAUUCUAGAAGAGUAAGCACCAAAUUUGAAUUUCUUCAUGUGUAUUAAUAAACAUUAACCUUAUGUGGAACCUUUCUAAAAGUUGUUCUGUUUAUAUUUCUUCAACUUACAAACCGCAUGGAAUUAGAACUAACAUGUAGCGUUUCCUACUUCCAACAUACUAACCACCUCUUCUUUUUUUCCCUUAUAUUUCUAGGACGAUUCUCAAAACCGGUGGAGUUGCAUAUGAGUAGUUUCUAUUCAAAUACGAUAAAUAUCAAUAAAAAUGAUAUUGCAUUUUAUCAGCAUUCACCAAAUACAAAGUACUUAAUAGUUAAGAACCACAUAUUCCAUAAAAAUAGUUCAUCAAAUAACAACACAUAUUGGCGAUGUCGAUAUUUCCGUCGUAUGCAUUGUCACGCUCGAGCGGUAUCAAAACCCAAUGCAGUAAUAUUAACAUGUCCUGUUCAUAAUCAUGCACCAAUGUAUCAGGAACGUGAGAUUGUCUUGCAGAAUAAACUGAAAAAAAUGGAUAAUAGUAAGGUGAAUGGUGAUGAUGGUGCCGAUGGUGAUAAUAGCGGUGGUACGGUGAAUGGUAACAAUACUACUGGGAGUAAAGUCAAUAAUCGUAGGAAGCGUUAACUUUAACAACUGAUUUUUUAAGUGCUUGAUUAAACACUUAGGUAUAUACAUAGUAUAUUAAAUAAUCAUAUUCUGCAAAAAAUCCUUCUUUGUAUGUAUGCAUGGCUGAAUCUAAGUACACAUGCGAUAUUUUACAAACGUAUCUAAGAUUUGAAGAUGAUCAACUAAUUUAAGAGAAACCCAAUAAUAAAACGAUAGAUGAAAAUUGUUAAAAUUAAUAAUUUUUAUUUCCCUAGUGUUAAGUGAUUAAAAUUUAAUUUUGCUUUGAAUAUUAUUUAUUUAAAUUAUUUGUGUUUGCGUGAAAACGGUAUCUGACUCUUUGCCAAUCUUUCAUGUAUUUAGAACUUAACAAAAAUCCAAAUGUAAUAUUAGUAUAAGAUGUAAUGGUUUUCCUGUUGAAAUCAAAGGUUGAUUUUAAUUUUAUAAAAUUAAGAAUUAAUAAAUUGUAUGUUGGGCUGCUGAAAACACCUUGCUCGGAUAUUUCGUCGCUACUAUGCUAAAAUAUCUAAGAUGCUGUGAAACUGUAGCAUAAUGGGUAGCAUCGCUACUUAUACUUCAGUUUUCACCAAAACUUUCAGGAAAGUGAGAAUUCAUAAUCAAUAUUUCAGAGCGCUGCUAACGAUAAAGCCAUUUGUCUUUUCUUAAGGUUCGGCUUAUUUAUUGUCAAAAAUGUAAAUUAUAUUCCUUUUUAUUCCAGAAUUCCAGUCAGUAUAGCAAUUUUUUCUGUGUUCUUUUCCUUCUAUGGCGCUACAAUUCGAUGUCGUGCCUUGACCAAUUUAUGUUGUCCACUGAGUCCUCCCAUCUAUUUCCAGAUUUUCCAGGUGGUCGUUGAUUUUUUACUCUCG